AAAGUUGCAGCUCUCCAGGCCUGACCACAUCGUUUGCAUAAGCGCUGUGCCUGAAAAAUAAUGGAUCUUCUCAGCAACACACUUAAAGAUUGUCAAUCCCUGCUGAUUCUGAACUGACAAUCAAACGACCAGUCAAAUGAAGAACUGUGUCUAAAAUCAGAGACACCUUAGAGCCAACGCUGAGUCCUCUACGGUCAGCUUGUUAGUAACGUAGCAGAAAACUUAAAGCAUCAUAAUACAAUGAUUUUAUUUAUUUA